rnacentral:rRNA from 1 species
AUUGAACGCUGGCGGCAUGCUUUACACAUGCAAGUCGAACAGUAACAGGCCGCAAGGUGCUGACGAGUGGCGAACGGGUGAGUAAUGCAUCGGAACGUGCCCAGUCGUGGGGGAUAACUACUCGAAAGAGUAGCUAAUACCGCAUACGAUCUAUGGAUGAAAGCGGGGGACCGUAAGGCCUCGCGCGAUUGGAGCGGCCGAUGUCAGAUUAGGUAGUUGGUGGGGUAAAGGCUCACCAAGCCAACGAUCUGUAGCUGGUCUGAGAGGACGACCAGCCACACUGGGACCGAGACACGGCCCAGACUCCUACGGGAGGCAGCAGUGGGGAAUUUUGGACAAUGGGCGCAAGCCUGAUCCAGCAAUGCCGCGUGCAGGAAGAAGGCCUUCGGGUUGUAAACUGCUUUUGUACGGAACGAAACGGCUCUGGUUAAUACCCGGGGCUAAUGACGGUACCGUAAGAAUAAGCACCGGCUAACUACGUG